UCCAGAGAUGGACUGGUGCCUUCGGGAACUGUGAGACAGGUGCUGCAUGGCUGUCGUCAGCUCGUGUUGUGAAAUGUUGGGUUAAGUCCCGCAACGAGCGCAACCCUUAUCCUUUGUUGCCAGCGGUCCGGCCGGGAACUCAAAGGAGACUGCCAGUGAUAAACUGGAGGAAGGUGGGGAUGACGUCAAGUCAUCAUGGCCCUUACGACCAGGGCUACACACGUGCUACAAUGGCGCAUACAAAGAGAAGCGACCU
rnacentral:rRNA from 4 species